rnacentral:rRNA from 1 species
UACGUAGGGGGCAAGCGUUGUCCGGAAUCAUUGGGCGUAAAGCGCGUGUAGGCGGCCUUGUAAGUCCGUUCUGAAAGCCCGGGGCUCAACCCCGGGAGGCGGAUGGAUACUGCAAGGCUCGAGUACGGAAGAGGCGAGUGGAAUUCCCGGUGUAGCGGUGAAAUGCGCAGAUAUCGGGAGGAACACCAAUGGCGAAGGCAGGUCUCUGGGCAUUAACUGACGCUGAGGAGCGAAAGCAUGGGGAGCGAACAGG